UACGUAGGCAGCGAGCGUUGUUCGGAAUUACUGGGCGUAAAGAGUGUGUAGGCGGUGUUCCAAGUUCGGUGUGAAAUCUCCCGGCUUAACUGGGAGGGUGCGCCGAAAACUGGAAUGCUCGGGCGUGGGAGAGGAAAGCGGAAUUCCUGGUGUAGCGGUGAAAUGCGUAGAUAUCAGGAGGAACACCAGCGGUGUAGACGGCUCUCUGGACCAUUGCUGACGCUGAUGUGCGAAAGCGUGGGGAGCAAACAGG
rnacentral:rRNA from 1 species